rnacentral:rRNA from 1 species
AGAGUUUGAUCAUGGCUCAGAUUGAACGCUGGCGGCAGGCCUAACACAUGCAAGUCGAACGGUAACAGGAAGCAGCUUGCUGCUUCGCUGACGAGUGGCGGACGGGUGAGUAAUGUCUGGGAAGCUGCCUGAUGGAGGGGGAUAACUACUGGAAACGGUAGCUAAUACCGCAUAAUGUCGCAAGACCAAAGAGGGGGACCUUCGGGCCUCUUGCCAUCGGAUGUGCCAGAUGGGAUUAGCUUGUUGGUGGGGUAACGGCUCACCAAGGCGACGAUCCCUAGCUGGUCUGAGAGGAUGACCAGCCACACUGGAACUGAGACACGGUCCAGACUCCUACGGGAGGCAGCAGUGGGGAAUAUUGCACAAUGGGCGCAAGCCUGAUGCAGCCAUGCCGCGUGUAUGAAGAAGGCCUUCGGGUUGUAAAGUACUUUCAGCGGGGAGGAAGGGAGUAAAGUUAAUACCUUUGCUCAUUGACGUUACCCGCAGAAGAAGCACCGGCUAACUCCGUGCCAGCAGCCGCGGUAAUACGGAGGGUGCAAGCGUUAAUCGGAAUUACUGGGCGUAAAGCGCACGCAGGCGGUUUGUUAAGUCAGAUGUGAAAUCCCCGGGCUCAACCUGGGAACUGCAUCUGAUACUGGCAAGCUUGAGUCUCGUAGAGGGGGGUAGAAUUCCAGGUGUAGCGGUGAAAUGCGUAGAGAUCUGGAGGAAUACCGGUGGCGAAGGCGGCCCCCUGGACGAAGACUGACGCUCAGGUGCGAAAGCGUGGGGAGCAAACAGGAUUAGAUACCCUGGUAGUCCACGCCGUAAACGAUGUCGACUUGGAGGUUGUGCCCUUGAGGCGUGGCUUCCGGAGCUAACGCGUUAAGUCGACCGCCUGGGGAGUACGGCCGCAAGGUUAAAACUCAAAUGAAUUGACGGGGGCCCGCACAAGCGGUGGAGCAUGUGGUUUAAUUCGAUGCAACGCGAAGAACCUUACCUGGUCUUGACAUCCACGGAAGUUUUCAGAGAUGAGAAUGUGCCUUCGGGAACCGUGAGACAGGUGCUGCAUGGCUGUCGUCAGCUCGUGUUGUGAAAUGUUGGGUUAAGUCCCGCAACGAGCGCAACCCUUAUCCUUUGUUGCCAGCGGUCCGGCCGGGAACUCAAAGGAGACUGCCAGUGAUAAACUGGAGGAAGGUGGGGAUGACGUCAAGUCAUCAUGGCCCUUACGACCAGGGCUACACACGUGCUACAAUGGCGCAUACAAAGAGAAGCGACCUCGCGAGAGCAAGCGGACCUCAUAAAGUGCGUCGUAGUCCGGAUUGGAGUCUGCAACUCGACUCCAUGAAGUCGGAAUCGCUAGUAAUCGUGGAUCAGAAUGCCACGGUGAAUACGUUCCCGGGCCUUGUACACACCGCCCGUCACACCAUGGGAGUGGGUUGCAAAAGAAGUAGGUAGCUUAACCUUCGGGAGGGCGCUUACCACUUUGUGAUUCAUGACUGGGGUGAAGUCGAAACAAGGUA